CUCAAAAACUAAUCUUUAAUAGUGAGUACCAGUGUAUUAGUUCCAUUAUAUGUAUGAAGUAUUAUGAUUCAAAAGUUAUUUUUCAAAACUUCAACAUUUGCAUGAGGAAAACUCCCAGGAGCAACAUAUCAUUGGUUUAGACUCAAACUGACCAUGAAAGCGCCGCAGCCUCAGAAGCCCUGUUGGUGUAGAAUGAAGAAAACGAGGCCUGUCAGCAGAGAGGAAGCAAUGUCUGAAACAGUGGAUGUGGAAGAGAGACAGCAAAAGUCCAGAUUCAGCUUUGACACUGUCCUACAAUGCACCCUCAUCCUUGUGAAAGUGGCUCUGUGGAUCAUCUCGAUAUGGAUCUUGUCGUACCUCCACAUGGGGGCCUCGUGCUUCCUCCUUUCACUGGCCGUCUGGAUGUAUUCAGUGCCAAUGGAGCAUGUUUUGAAGUGGUCUAAGAGGCGCUUGCUUAGGAAAAGGCAUGUGAACAUAUAAAAAUAAAAUGCAUCUUCUAUUCUGA